AUUGAACGCUGGCGGCGUACUUAACACAUGCAAGUCGAACGGGGGAUCAUCGGGUUAGCAAUAACUCGGUGGUCCUAGUGGCGCACGGGUGAGUAACACGUGGGUAACCUGCCCUGGAGACCGGGAUACCCCCUCGGAAAGGGGGGCUAAUACCGGAUACGUUCCCUGGAUCGAGAGGUCUGGGGAGGAAAGGUGGCGAAAGCUGCCGCUCUUGGAGGGGCUCGCGGCCUAUCAGCUAGUUGGCGGGGAACGGCCCACCAAGGCUACGACGCGUAGCUGGUCUGAGAGGAUGGCCAGCCACAUUGGGACUGAGACACGGCCCAGACUCCGUACGGGAGGCAGCAGUGGGGAAUAUUGCGCAAGUGGACCGAAAGGCUGACGCAGCGACGCCGCGUGUGGGAU
rnacentral:rRNA from 1 species